rnacentral:rRNA from 1 species
UACGAAGGGGGCUAGCGUUGUUCGGAAUUACUGGGCGUAAAGGGCGCGUAGGCUGUGCUGUAAGUCAGGCGUGAAAGCCCCGGGCUCAACCUGGGAAUUGCGCUUGAUACUGCGGCGCUGGAAGGUGGGAGAGGAUGGCGGAAUUCCCAGUGUAGAGGUGAAAUUCGUAGAUAUUAGGAAGAACACCGGUGGCGAAGGCGGCCCACUGGAUCGGUACUGACGCUGAGGUGCGAAAGCGUGGGGAGCAAACAGG